AGCGUUGAGAGUAAACAAAUAUGUAAAACAAUAGUUAGAUUAAGCACAUAUUUAAGAUACUGGAUGAAAUGAUGUGCUACUAGGAGACAAUUCCAGGAUCGAAGGAGCAACAGAAGAUAGACCACCUCUUUAAACAUGGUGCAUCAGAGUGAAUCAGCUAGUGAAGGUUAAAUAAGGAUCCCCAUUUUAACAUGGUGCAAUCUGUUUCUAAGCAUUGUAAAGUACCAUCUACCUCCAAAAGUUUACCCCUUUUUAUCCUAGGUGCAGAAACAUGUUCUACACUACAGAUGCAUCUACCUCUAUCUUGAAAGUGUUGAGCAAUAAACAAAAGCAUAAUUUACUAAACAACCAAAAUAAUACUACCAAAAAAUUUGAAUAACAUAAUCUCUCCUGUUUUAACUGAUUUCACUUUGCAAUUAUGAAAGCUAAGCAUAACUAAACAAGAAAGUUCACUCACAAAAUUUCUCCUUCACCCAUCUCCCCCCUCCCCCCCACCUCCCAAAAAAAACAAGCAAUAUCCCUCUAUCUCUCAUUCUGAGUUGCAUGGUAAGAAGAAAUUCAUUCUUGCACGAAUGUAUAUACCCACUACAAAACUAGCUGAAAAAACUACUAUACGGAUUAAAAGUUUUGGCUGUCCGUUAAAAUAUGCAAGUGAUAUCUGUUCGUAUACACAUGAAAAAAAGUAGAAUAAAUUUUGUUUUCAACUUCAAAGCUAUUCCCAUGGAAAAUAGAUAAUUGGGUAGUCAAAAAGAAUUAUGCCACCACAUUCAACCUCGUUUCAAACCAGAUAAUAUUUGAACUCAGUUCCCAAAGCUAAGGAACCUAAGCAGAAAAAAAGUUUCAACUUUCAAAUCCAUUUGAAAAAUCACUUGUAUUAAGAUGCCAACCACAGAGAUAACUCAAGACAAACGAAAAUAUAUGUUAAACCCAUACAUGCCGUACAUUGUAAACCUGAUCUUCCCUUCUUUCUAAAUCACUCUCCUAAUAGUCUUUGAAAAGCCAAUAUGCAAGUAGACAUAAGUCAAAAUACCACUAAGAUGAAAAUUGAUUUCAAGGAUGAACUAGGUUCUACAUUUAACCCAUCCCCAUUUUCCCAGAUAAACCUAUGUUACUAGUAUUACGGUCAGAUCAAACAUAACACUAUUUAAAUGGAAAGGACAAUAUUAAUUUAAAUACUAACUGCAUUGGUCAUUAAUAAGUAAGUGAAAUCCUAGCUGAGCGAGUAAACUGAAAGGUAAAAGACAUUAUUUGCCUGCACAGGUACUCCAACUGGAUGUUACUUUUGAUAGAAUAACUUGUUUACUUGGAUAUAGGCCAGUGGGAAUGUUGGGUAUGAGAAAUAUUUUAAAUGGACUCUAAAAAUAUUCUUGAGAACUGGAUUGACUAAUAUUCAUAGGCAGAGGUGAUUAAUGUGUUUUUGUUUGCUUAUGUUUGUUUCUUUCUGCAUUUGCAUUGCUAUACUAAUAAAUUUUGGUUGUAUAUAUGUGUGUGUGUAUGUGUAUAUAUAUAUAUUAAACUGUUCUAUGCACCGGAUUAUGACACCUGAUAAGCAAUGGAUGGAACUUGUUCAUGAUCGAUUAGAUGAUGCUUACAUACUUGUGGUAGAGAAAUUUUUGAAUUAUGCUUUUACAAGAUUGGAAGAAACGCGUGAAAUACGUUGUCCAUGCAUCAAAUGUUAUAAUGCAAUUUCAGGAACACGUGAGCUGGUUAGAUCACAUUUAAUAGUACAUGAGAUAAUCCCAAAUUAUACUUGUUGGUAUCACCAUAGGGAAAGGUUAGGUGAGGAGCAGUCAGAUUCUGAAUUUGUAGAUGAUAAUGACAUUGAAUAUGGUGAUGGUGAGGAUGAAAUACAUGACAUUUUAAGAGAUCUUUACCCCAAUUUUGAUAGAGAUAAUAUGAACAAUGAUGGUGAUGAGUUUCUCAUGGAGGAACCAAAUCCUGAAGCAAAAAGAUUCUAUAGGGUCUUAAAGGAUUUUGAGCAACCCUUGUACCAAAGUUCAAAAAUUUCUAAACUUUCUACUUUGGUUAAAUUGCUUCAUAUUAAAACUGUUGGUAAUUGGAGAACGAGUCAUUUAUAAUGCUGUUGAAGAUGUUGAAGGAAGAUUUAUUGCCCGACGGAUCUAAUUUGCCAGACUCAUAUUAUGAGGCAAAAAAGGUUAUUCGGGACCUUCGGCUUUCUUACAACAAGAUUGAUACAUGUAAGAAUGAUUGUAUGUUAUAUUGGAAGGAUGAUAAGUUUCUUGAAUCUUGCAAAGUUUGUGGCGUAUCUAGAUGGAAGGAGGAUAAACAUAGUGGAGAAACCAAAUUUAAAAGUGGGAAAAAGAUACCAAACAAGAUUUUACGUUAUUUUCGUCUAAAGCCAAGACUUCAAAAAUUGUUUAUGUCCUCAAAGACAUCUUCUUUAAUGACAUGGCAUCAUGACAAAAGAGUUGAUGAUGGAAUAAUGAGGUACCCAGCUGAUUCAAUAGCAUGGAAAAAUUUGAUGAACUUCACCAAUCUUUUGCAGCUGAGCCUCGUAUUGUUCGACUUGGACUUGCUAUUGAUGGUUUUCAACCAUUUAGAAAUUCCAAAAUUCCAUAUAGUAUUUUGCCUGUGGUACUUAUUUCUUAUAAUUUACCACCUUGGCUAUGCAUGGAGAAAGAGAAUUUUAUUUUGUCAAUGUUUAUUCCUGGUCCUGAGAGUCAUGGAGAUGCUAUCGAUGUUUAUCUUCAACCUUUGAUAGAGGAAUUAAAAGAAUUGUGGGAAUCUGGAGUGGAGACCUUUGAUGCAUCAACUAGACAAAAUUUUUUGUUACAUGCAUCUUUGUUAUAGAUCAUUAAUGACUUUCCAGCAUAUGCGAAUUUAUUUGGAUGGAGUACAAAGGGUAAAAUGGCUUGUCCAUGUUGUAAUAAAGAAAUUGUUUCAAUUAGGUUAGAAAAUUGUAAAAAACAAUGUUAUAUGGGCCAUAGACGCUUUCUUCCUCUUAAUCACAAAUGGAGGAAUGAUAAAGAGUCAUUUGAUGGCACUAAGGAGCGAAGAUUACCACCAAAAAUGCUAUCCGGUGAUGAUAUACUUGAUCAAGUGGCUAAUUUAGAUGGUUUACAUUUAACAAAGGAUCCAAAGAAGAAGGUUAAAAUAUCACAUGAUAGUAGGGGUGAUAAUUGGAAUAAGAAGAGUAUUUUCUUUGAUCUUCCUUAUUGGAGAACUCUAUUGUUGCGGCAUAAUUUAGAUGUGAUGCAUAUUGAGAAGAACAUAUGUGAUAAUAUUCUGGGGACAAUCUUAAAUGCUAAAGGGGAAAACCAAAGACACCAUAAACACUCGGUUGGAUUUGCAAGCAAUAAAUAUAAGAAAAGAAUUGCAUCCAAUAAAAAAUGGGGAUAAGUAUGACUUACCAACAACAUGUUUUACACUAUCUCUUGAAGAGAAGUAUAAGUUUUUCAAUUUCCUGAAGAACUUAAAGGUCCCAGAUGGAUUUUCAUCAAAUAUUUCUCAGUUUGCCAACCUUAAAGAUCGCAAAAUUUCAGGUUUAAAAAGUCAUGAUUGCCAUGUCCUUCUAUAAUAUUUACUCCAACUUGCAAUACGUGGUAUGCUUAGCAAAUUUGUACGGGAACCACUUAUUGAGUUGUCAUUAUUUUUCAAUGUGCUUGGAGGAAAAUAUUUAAGAAUUAAUGAAUUAGAGCAGAUAGAUGGCCAGAUCCCUAAAACUGAGUGUAAGUUAGAAAAGGUGUUCCCCCUACAUUUUUUGAUGUCAUGGAGCACUUGCCUAUUCAUUUAGCUAACGAAGAUAAGAUUGCUGGACCUAUUCAAUAUCGAUGGAUGUACCCAAUGCAUCGAUAUAUAUAUACUUUUUGAAGCCUUUUAUUCGUAAUAGGGCAUGCGCAAAAUGUUCUAUUGCAGAGAGAUAUUUAGCAGCUGAAUGUAUGACCUUAUGUUCAAGGUAUUUGCACACAAUAGAAACAAAGUUUAAUCGCCUUGAACGGAAUUAUGAUGGUGGUGUUAUAGAAUCUGAUGGAGGUUUAGCAAUUUUUUAUCAAUCUAGAAGAGCUUUAAGAGGUGGAAAAAUAGACAAACUUGAUUCAAAUGAUCUGGAGCAAGCACAUUUUUAUAUUUUGAAAAACAACGAUGAAGUUCAACCAUUUCUUGAGUAAGUAACGACUUGUUAUAACAAUUUAAUACCUUCUCUAUUUUUUAAUUUAAGCUGACAUAUUUUUACACUGCAAUUUUUUGUAGAGAGUUUUCACAAACUCCAGUUGAUACCUCUCAAGAAUAUUCUGAUAGACAAUUUAUUAGUUGGUUAAAAGAAAAGAUGAGUACCAACUAAUAAUAAUAUUUUUCAAACUAUGUAAUUAUUAUUUUCUAAACUAUAUAUUUGAUUUGAUAGGUCGCAAGAUUGCAAAAAUAUGAUGAUAGUAAGAAAAUGGCAGAUUUAUUGUCAUUGUCACGUGGUCCCACGCCAUAUGUGACAAGUUUUCGUGGCUAUAUUAUCAAUGAAUAUAGGUUUCAUGUGCUGGACUAUGAUAAAGGUUUGAGAACUCAAAAUUGCGGGGUGGUUGUAGUUGGAGAGACCGAUGAAGAGAAUAAAAAUAUCGAUUUCUAUGGUGAACUAACAGAGAUUCUAGAAUUACAAUUUGUUCUGGGAAGAAGGGUGGUUUUAUUUCGAUGUACAUUAUUUGAUGUGUAUGACCAAGAAAAAGGGGUUAAAAUAGAUGAAUAUGGCUUUGUAAGUGUUAACCGCCAACGAUUUCUGAAAACAAAUGAGCCUUUUGUAUUAGCCAACCAAGCAUCGCAAGUUUUUUAUGCUGAGGAUCUUUCUAAUAAAAGCUGGCAUGUUGUACAAAAAGUACAACCUCGUGAUUCUUUUGACAUUCUGCAAAAGAAUAUUGAUGAUUUAGAGGAGUUAGAUAAUUCUUCACAACUAAAAAGGAAAAGAACUCAAGAAGGUUAAGUUGCAGGAAAGGAAAAAGGUUUCUAAAACUCCACCAGUGGAUGUCUUCUUAGCUGAUUGCUGACAUGAAUCCAUCAAAAUCUCAAAAGUUUUAAAUGGUAUCAACUUCGAAGACUUUUAAGCAUGCAUACAUUCCAUCUGGUGCCUUAGCAAGGGGACGAGGGAAAACUUCAAAGCUUUUGGUUCUGUAAGAGUAAACGCUGAACAAAGAAGCGUCCAUAUGAAUCUAAAAAGGCCAAACAAGUAAGAGCACACGCUGAACAGAGAACUUUGAUGGGCAAAAAUAAAAACUAUAAUGCAGUAGCUUUUAAUCAGAAUAAGCUAGCUCAGAAGGAUAGUCUUGGGCCUCUUGGUUUUGAUCCAAUAUUGGAAUAUGAUGCUUCCUUUUCUGAUGAAGAAGCGAUGCAAGGCACUCAGAGAAGCAAAAUAAGUCCAUAUGAAUAUGAAAAGGCCAAAAAAGUAAGAGUAAGCGUUGAACAGAGAACUUCGAUUAGCAAAAAUAAAAACUAUAAUGCAGUAGCUUCUAAUCAGAAUAAGCAAGCUCAGAAGGAUAGUCUUUGGCCUCCUGAUUUUGAUCCUUCACUGAUGAAGAAGCGACGCAAGGCACAAAAAGAAGCGAAAUAAGGCCACAUGAAUCUGAAAAGGCCAAAAAAGUGAGAGGAAAAAACUAGUGUAAAAAAGUUGCAGGACUCAAAGCCGGAGAAAAGUUGAGAGUCACUUUUUACCACAAUCGAGUUGUUGGGAAGAAUCAUGCCUUAUUUACGAGACACUUAGGUGUAUUAGUUCGUGACCAUAAUAUGUGCCCAUUACGCAUACACUCAUAGAUGAAAAUCGAAGAAUAUAAGCUGGAGCACAUGUGACAAGCUGUUACUGACAAAUUUUAUAGUGAUAACAUAAAUGAUCAACGAGAUCAUGUCUUGAAAUAUAUGAGAAAGUUAUGGAACAAUUGGAGAGGAUUGAUGCACAAGAACAUAAAGUCUAAGCCAUUCCGCGUUGCUUUAAGAGAUGUGCCAGAGGGGGUAGACAAGAGUGAUUGGGAAUGGCUGGUCAAAGAGCAUUUUUUAACUGAAAAAUUUAAGGAAACAAGUAUAACAAACUCGAUCAAUAGAUCUAAGUUGACAAUGCCUCAUCGUAUGGAUAGUAAGCCUAUUCGAGAGAUCAUGUAUGAAUUUGUGAGUAAAUAUUGCAAUUUUAUUGAGAAACUUUAUCUUUGUUAAAAAAAUUCUGUGACUUUUUAGUUAAAUGUGAAGGGAGGCAAAGAUGGAAACCCCCCAGAUACGAAAACUAUCUUUUUUGAGACUCGUAAGAAGGACGACAAGCUUGUCGAACCUGAAACCAAUGAAAAAUAUGCCAAAAUCUAAGAACUGGUGCAAUCUGAAUCGUCUCUUACAAAUAUUGAGGUCGUAGAAAGGUGCUUCGGACCUCAACGCAAGAGUCAUGUAGUUGGAUUUGGUGGUGGAAUUACUGCUAAGGAGUUAAAAGGUGGUAACUCCUCCAAGGAUGCAUUGUUGGAAAAGUUGAGUGCUAAAAAAGAAAAUGAAUCACUAAAAGGGCGCAUAGAAGGGUUAGAGAGUAAAUACGAUGUUCUAGAGAGUAAAUAUGCACAACUUGCAAGUGCAGUGUUUAACCAAGCUUCAUCCUCAUCUUCAAGUGAACAAUAGAUUGAAGCAUUUAACAGAUCAAAAGCUUGGAAGUCUGAAGAACCUAUUGUUGAAGAAAGCGCACAUCAAUCAUAAGAACAAGAGAAUUUUGUUAUGUUAGGGAUGGUUUGAAGGCAUUGUCUUAUGUACAUAUGCUGCAAUUUUAUUUUUUCUCUUUUUAGAAAUUGUUAAAAAUGAUGUCAUACUAUUUGGAUUGCUUUCUGGUAAUGUGAUGAUGUUAUACUAUUUGAA